rnacentral:lncRNA from 1 species
CACCUUUUUGUCUUCGGAGGUUAGGUUUGUGUCUUGGGCCUUCACAUAGUAGUCCACGAGCAGCUCUUGGAUAACUCUCUGUAAGAUCUCAUACCUCAGCCAUGCUGUCUUACGAUGCCGAACUUCACUCCACGCCUCAAAACAAAACGGAACCCCUGUCUGAGCCUGCUCCUUGGCCAGCGUGAGGCUCAAGCCACUUUCAUCCACGUGCUGGGAGAGACUGAGCAACAGCUUGCUGAAACGUGGA